CUGCGACAGUUGUAGUUUCGUGGCGAAGAACUUCGUAUCAGAACCUUUCUAGCGGUUGAACAUAUCGAUGCAUUUCAUUUUCACGAACGAUCCACCGUUUUUCCAUCAAAGUAUCAGAGCUGCGCUAUUGUCUGUACGAUUCAUGUCCAGAAAAUGACUUGACAUUUUCACCUUUCACAUCGAGCGCCGAAUACUGUGGGCAUCGUGUCAUCAAUGACAUCACCGACAGCGGUGAAGCUAAAACGCCGAGCCAGCUUAUUCUGCAGUUCUACAAGAACGCCGAACACGUGUCCAAGCAGUACAUGACGAUUAUAAACGCAACGGCCGCUCAAUUGGCAUUUCCAAUCCACCGGCUGGCCGAGAUACCUAUUUUUGAGUGCUGUUACUUGAUGACCAACUGGGUCUAAACCACAGAUAUGACAACACAAGUACUGCUCAGUUGUUAUCCACACCGUCAAUUAGUGAUUCGUCGACAUUUUCCACCCCGCCACCGACGAGCUUGGAAACUAGUGGUCCACCUUCGCUGGUGUCACAAACCUUUGAGGUCAUUUCCUGGUCGUGCUGUAGGCAGAACUCUUAUAAAUUGUCCUGAGGAUUCAGACUCUAGAGAAAAUACUUGUUAUUGGGAUUUUACCACCUCGUCAGCAGUAUACAUGCAACCAUACAAAUAUUACUACUUUACAGUACAUGACGAUAACGUAUUGGAAGAUUUAAGUACACCCCUAUGUUUUCUUUAUUACGCCAAUGGUAUAAUUACAUAUUGUUUACAUUAUAUUGAACUAUAAAUUACAAACGUGUUAUUUAGAUUACGAGCAUUUACGUUAAAAUAAUAAACCUGUAAUUUUUCAAUUUUUUCCUUCCUUUGGUAUAUAUUUUAAUUUAUUACUGAAUUAAUUUCUGAAUUGAAAUAUUUUUCCCAAUAUAUAGUAUUCACUGCAGUAAUGAAACAUAUAAGAAUUAUGCCAAGUUUGAAGGACUCAGUACCGACAUUGGUUACAAUUAAACUGUGUUUUCAUCAAAUGAAGAAGGUUUAUCAACCGAGUAUUCGACAAUUUUUGUUCCCAAUGAAUCAGAAAGUGAGUAUAUAAAUGUAAUUUAAAAAUGUUUGAAUAAGUUUUAAUGUUGACUGAUAUUAGAACUUGAUGAACCGUUACCAUUUACAAAAAUGGGAUUUGAUGAAUGAAAUGUAUUUGAACUUUUGUGGGAAAAUGCCAGUAGUAAAAAAUUAUUAGCAGCUAAUCAAGUCAAUGAUUAUACUAUAGUUUGGUGUGAAAAUGAUCAAGUUUGCAUCUCAAUUCCAUAGAUGCCGUGCUAAUCAUAUUUACCCAGAUGUUAUUUAUUUUUCCAACGACUAAUCAUAAAAAAAAAAAGCAAUUUAUAAAUACAGUCGA